rnacentral:rRNA from 1 species
GGGAAAUCGGUGCGAGCGGGCGCGGCAAGAUGGGAGGUCGAGGCGUUGUUCGGGUUCACGUGGCGUAAAGGGGUCGUAGGUGGUGAGGUAAGUCGGAUGUUAAAUCUCGGGGCUCAACUCCGAAAUGGCAUUGGAAACUACCUUGCUCGAGGGGUGGAGGGGGGACUGGAAUACUUGGUGUAGCAGUGAAAUGCGUAGAUAUCAAGUGGAACACCAGUGGCGAAGGCGAGUCCCUGGACAACUCCUGACACUGAGGCACGAAAGCUAGGGGAGCAAACAGGAUUAGAUACCCGUGUAGUC